UCCCUGGAGGACUAGUGGUUAGGCCUCGGUGCUUUCACUGCCACAGCCCUGGUUUGAUUCCUGGUCAGGGAA
rnacentral:tRNA from 1 species